rnacentral:rRNA from 1 species
UACGUAGGGACCAAGCGUUGUCCGGAAUCAUUGGGCGUAAAGAGCGUGUAGGCGGCUUGUUAAGUCUUGCGUGAAAUCUCGGGGCUCAACCCCGAGCGGUCGUGAGAAACUGGCAGGCUAGAGUGCGGGAGAGGAGAGUGGAAUUCCUGGUGUAGCGGUGAAAUGCGCAGAUAUCAGGAAGAAUACCGAUGGCGAAGGCAGGUCUCUGGGCUGACACUGACGCUCAUGCACGAAAGCGUGGGGAGCAAACAGG